UACGUAGGGCGCAAGCGUUGUCCGGAUUUAUUGGGCGUAAAGAGCUCGUAGGCGGUUUGUCGCGUCUUCCGUGAAAACUUGGGGCUUAACCCUGAGCUUGCGGUCGAUACGGGCAUGACUGGAGUUCGGCAGGGGAGACUGGAAUUCCCGGUGUAGCGGUGAAAUGCGCAGAUAUCGGGAGGAACACCGGCGGCGAAGGCGGCACUCUGGGCCGGUACUGACGCUGAGGAGCGAAAGCGUGGGGAGCAAACAGG
rnacentral:rRNA from 1 species